GGAGCCGAGUCUCUGUCCACGGUGCUGAAAGCUGCAGCGUCGCUGUCCGGGUCUUGAGUCCGACAGCCUGAGCAUUUCUGGGAGCGACGUGCUGAUCCUUUGGGGGAUCGAACCUGGGCUGUUUGCGGCCCGUUCAUGUGUGAGCGGAGGAGGGCGGCGCAGUGUGAGGGCAAGAUGAACCAGGAUACAACAGAAACACGAAGCCGAACCCGUUACAAAGGAACCCGUGUGUCAUCAGAGCUCACGGGACCAGAGAUAAAGGAGCUGAGCAGUUGUCCCACACCCGGAUGUGAUGGCAAAGGUCACGUCAGCGGACGAUACUCACGUCAUAGAAGGUAACUCUCUC